rnacentral:misc_RNA from 1 species
CCAUAAGUUUACAGUAUACCUGCUCAAGUUCAGUAUUCAAAGUACAAUAGAAAAUAGAGAGCAAGAAGGAAAAAGAAAAGAAACAAAAAACAGUUCAAUGUUGAAAAACGAGAACAGUGGGGUUUUUUAUGGCAGUAGAAACAACUGGUCAAGGGUGUGUGACAGUUGUCGUUCCACUGCAUGUGCCGUUUACUGCAGGGCAGAUUCCAGCUUUUUGUGUGCCGGCUGUGACACCCGCAUGCAUGCAGCAAAUCUGUUGGCUUCUCGUCACAAGCGUGUGUGGAUUUGUGAGGCCUGCGAACGUUCCCCUGCAGCCUUUCUUUGCAAGG